AGUGAACGCUGGCGGUAGGCCUAACACAUGCAAGUCGAACGGCAGCACAGUAAGAGCUUGCUCUUACGGGUGGCGAGUGGCGGACGGGUGAGGAAUACAUCGGAAUCUACUUUUUCGUGGGGGAUAACGUAGGGAAACUUACGCUAAUACCGCAUACGACCUACGGGUGGAAGCAGGGGAUCUUCGGACCUUGCGCGAUUGAAUGAGCCGAUGUCGGAUUAGCUAGUUGGCGGGGUAAAGGCCCACCAAGGCGACGAUCCGUAGCUGGUCUGAGAGGAUGAUCAGCCACACUGGAACUGAGACACGGUCCAGACUCCUACGGGAGGCAGCAGUGGGGAACAUUGGACAAUGGGCGCAAGCCUGAUCCAGCCAUACCGCGUGGGUGAAGAAGGCCUUCGGGUUGUAAAGCCCUUUUGUUGGGAAAGAAAAGCAGCAGGUUAAUACCCCGCUGUUCUGACGGUACCCAAAGAAUAAGCACCGGCUAACUUCGUG
rnacentral:rRNA from 1 species